GGCAUGAUGAUGAGAAUAUAAAAUAGCCUCUGAAUUUAAUUUCAUGUGGAUCUUAUAUUUACAUACCUUCAAAGUUCUCUGAGUUGCU